rnacentral:rRNA from 1 species
GAUCCCUAGCUGGUCUGAGAGGAUGAUCAGCCACACUGGAACUGAGACACGGUCCAGACUCCUACGGGAGGCAGCAGGGGGGAAUAUUGCACAAUGGGCGCAAGCCUGAUGCAGCCAUGCCGCGUGUGUGAAGAAGGCCUUCGGGUUGUAAAGCACUUUCAGUCGUGAGGAAGGUAGUGUAGUUAAUAGCUGCAUUAUUUGACGU